AACGAACGCUGGCGGCAUGCCUAACACAUGCCAGUCGAACGAGACCUUCGGGUCUAGUGGCGCACGGGUGCGUAACGCGUGGGAACCUGCCCUUAGGUUCGGAAUAACUCCCCGAAAGGGGUGCUAAUACCGGAUAAUGUCUUCGGACCAAAGAUUUAUCGCCUUUGGAUGGGCCCGCGUUGGAUUAGCUAGUUGGUAGGGUAAAAGCCUACCAAGGCGACGAUCCAUAGCUGGUCUGAGAGGAUGAUCACCCACACUGGGACUGAGACACGGCCCAGACUCCUCCGGGAGGCAGCAGUGGGGAAUAUUGCACAAUGGGCGAAAGCCUGAUCCAGCAAUGCCGCGUGAGUGAUGAAGGCCUUAGGGUUGUAAAGCUCUUUUACCCGGGAUGAUAAUGACAGUACCGGGAGAAUAAGCUCCGGCUAACUCCGUG
rnacentral:rRNA from 1 species